rnacentral:rRNA from 1 species
AGUAUUCAGGUUCUAUGUAUUCUAUACAAACUCUAUGAAUGUCUUGAAUGUCUUUUAUUGGGACUUAACUGGCCCUUUAAACUUUAUACAACUUUCAGCAACGGAUCUCUUGGCUCUCGCAUCGAUGAAGAGCGCAGCGAAAUGCGAUAAGUAAUGUGAAUUGCAGAAUUCAGUGAAUCAUCGAAUCUUUGAACGCACCUUGCGCCCUUUGGUAUUCCGAAAGGCAUGCCUGUUUGAGUGUCAUUAAAUUCUCAACUUCAAAGGCUUUGUCUUUUGAAGCUUGGAUGUGAAGGCUGCUGGCGUUUUAAAUGUUCAGCUCCUUUGAAAUGCAUUAGUGGACCCAUUUGUGUUCAGCCUUAGUGUGAUAAUUAUCUACGCUAUGGUUUUUGAAUACUGGCUCAUUAGAUCUUCGAGGUGUUUUAUACAUUCUCGGUGUGGGGAGUUGCAUGAACUUGCUCUCUCUGUCUAUUGAGUUUGGCUUGUCUGCUUUCUAACUGUCUACACAUUGUGACAAUUUUGAACCAUUUGACCUCAAAUCAGGUAGACUACCCGCUGAACUUAAGCAUAUCAUAAGCGGAGGA